UGUGCGGCCUGCGUGCCCCGCGGGGGCCCCGGAGCCGUGCGGGGCCUGCAGGAUGCCCCCCCGGCCGGAGUCCCGACGGGUGCUGACGCCGCCGGCCUCUGCGGCUCGGACCCAAGGCCAUCCAUCACACUUCUGGAUGAGGCCUCCUCGGAGGAGAGCUCAGCAGCCCCCUGAAGAAGCAGAGCAAGUACCUUUCCCAAACUGUCGCAUCUUCCUAAGUUUGUCUAUACCAUUACCUCUGAUGUACAAUUGUGUAUGAUACAUAUAUACUCUGUACAGCAGACCUAAAAACAUAAAAGGCAUCUAAUUCAUACUUGUCAGUUGAGUUAAGGAAUGGAGGAAAUUAGAGAAGUCAGUUAAAUAAGCUCAAGAAUCUGGAAAAAGAAGUUUGCUUUAUAACUAACAGAGAUGGAGUAAGUUGAUAAAUACUCUAGUUAAACUUCACAAGCAACAAAACAGUAAGUAAUCACAACCUUCAAAGACUUGUCAGAGUACUCUUAUUGGAGAAACGAGAUAAGAAAGUGUAUUUUAUAUAACUUUAACAUUUGUAUAUUGCUAAGGAGUUGUUUUGUUAUUUUUUAAUUUGUAAGAAGAAUAUCUUCUGGGACUUACUAUUUUACUGUAUAUUAUGUUGAUACGAUUAUCCAUAUUUGUUUUUGCUGUUGUAUAUUAUUUCAUUGCAUGAUAAUACUACAAUUUAUCCAUUCUUUGAUCAGUAGGCAUCUGAAUUAUUCCCAUUACUAACUGUGUUUCAAGACCCCUGGGUGGCUCAGUGGUUAAGCGCCUGCCUUGGCCCAGGGUGUGAUCCUGGAAUCUCAGGAUUGAGUCCCACAUCAGGCUCCCUGCCUGGAGCCCUCUGCCUAUGUCUCUGCCUCUCUGUGUCUCUCAUGAAUAAAUAAAAUCUUUUAAAAAUAACUGUGUUUCUAUGUACAUUCUUAUUCAUGUCUUUGGUAAUGAUAUAUGAGAGUUUUUCUUGGAUAUUUUUCCAGGAAUGGAAUU